rnacentral:piRNA from 2 species
UGAAUAUGGAAUGCCGUACCUCGU